GGUAUAGCGCCACCUAGUGGCCGGCGUGUCUGGAUUUGGUUAUCUGAGUAGCGGUGCCGGACCUGGAUCUAGUCAUGCAAUUGGCGUGUCGGCACCAUUUACGGUUUGGGCUGUGGUACCACUUCUAAGGCGUAUAGUAUAAUAAUAAUAAUCCUUACAAAAACAAUAGGGAUCCAACCUGUUGGCUUGGACCCCUAAUUUGGUUGGAGAUUUCAAGUCUUAUGAUUGUACCCAUUAGACUAUAUUUACCAACUCAUUUAUUAACCUAGCUUACAAAAUGUGCAUCCCAAUCCAAAUGACGAUUACAAAUGGAAUAUUAACAUGACUCUCAUUCCUAUCUAGAACUUGAUGACCUCCGCUGCACGAACGCCUCCCAAGAACUGGACAACCUGGACAGCACGACCGUAUUAUUACAACCUGGACAGCACGACCAUCUACUACCAAGCCCCUGAAAACGGAAACAGAGGACAAUGUAAAUGGAGUGUAAAUAGAGUGAUGUGUUAAGAGUGAUGUGUUAAGCGUGAAUAAAAAAUGAAAAACAUUUCAUAUUGUAAU
rnacentral:lncRNA from 1 species